UUAUAAGAGACAGCAGUCGCCGCGGUAAUACGUAGGUGGCAAGCGUUGUCCGGAAUUAUUGGGCGUAAAGGGCUCGCAGGCGGUUUCUUAAGUCUGAUGUGAAAGCCCCCGGCUCAACCGGGGAGGGUCAUUGGAAACUGGGAAACUUGAGUGCAGAAGAGGAGAGUGGAAUUCCACGUGUAGCGGUGAAAUGCGUAGAGAUAUGGAGGAACACCAGUGGCGAAGGCGACUCUCUGGUCUGUAACUGACGCUGAGGAGCGAAAGCGUGGGGAGCGAACAGGAUUAGAUACCCCAGUAGUCCCUGUCUCUUAUAC
rnacentral:rRNA from 1 species